CUCGAAUGGAGUCAAUUUCGAUGUGGUCGUUGCCGACGGAGGGAAAUUAUCGCUAAAGUUUUUCAAGUGUUUCGGCCAUUUCUGUGCCUAUGGAGUAUGACAUCUGACGCACUUCAAGUCGUGCCAUGGCAAGAAGUGUGGUGCGCUCACCGGAAAAAUAUGCGAGGACGGGGUUUUUCAACUUAGGACGUCACUGGCAAAGCAGCAAGACCUGUUUCAGGAAGCCAGCCGGACAAGCAACGAAACGAUGGCUCGUGGACAACACCGCCACCGCACACCGCCAUCGGGACGACAUGGCGGCCGGGCUGGCAGUGGACGAGGCCACCAAGGACGUCCGUCGGCACAACAGGGGCACCCCAGGGGGCCGUGGACCGUGGCCACCCCCUACAGGACGGCCCCAAGGGCCCGGCCUGUGCCGGCGACGCAGCGGAUGGCCACAGCAGACCGCCGCCACCUGGACCGUGUUCAAGGAGCACACCUCUGUCGGGCGGCACACGAACGGGGGCGCCUUCAUAGGGAGAGGGCAGACGCCGAACGCAUUGCGUGCAUCAACCAACUCGGUGAGCGCGACCGCGAACGGGCCAUCGCACUCGUCCAGCCGCGCCGACCGGACUUGCUAUGCCAGUCCAGCCAGCAGUGCCAUCCACCCUGAUGCCCACGACAACGACACCAUCGUCGACGUGCCGGACGAAGUUUGAGGGGGAAGUGUGGGCACCCUGGCGGCUCCCAGCCCAGUUGCCCGACCACGGUGCACAGGUGGCGGACUUUUCCCUAUGGUAGCAAAGUCAAGCCGACCACACGACAUUGUGCGUGUUGCCAUCAAAGGCGGUGCGCAGGCAGCCAUGGCCUGAACUGAAGCACAGCUGAUAACAAUGUUAAUGUUGUCUCGUCCAUGUCCACUUCAAUGUAGUUUUUUGUUGAAACCGGGGCGCAAGCCUUUGUGGUGAGAUGCCGCGAGGGAAGUCAACCUCCACCUGCACGUGGUGCGCCCUGCCAGCUUGUAUGCUGCAACGGAGGCUCUGGCGACUAUCCCUCCACUGAGGGGUGGGCCCCCGAGCAGGGGUCUGCCCUUGGGAGGGGGGGGGGGGCAAAGCAAAUAUCCCUACUGCGGCAGUUGGCGCAGGGAUGCCCUCAACCAUCGUUGACCCACUGGUGUUGCCCUUGAUUGCCCCUUCGUGGGGUUGGGCUGGUGUCGGGCUCUGCAAGAUCGUUUCUCCGUGUCAAUCUUUCCUGGGCUGUUUCUUGGCGUGGCCCAGUUUUUUCUAAGUACAGUUCCCAAUUGGCUUUUUGGUGAAAUUCCCACUUGAUCCAAGGAUCCAAUUAAUUUAUAUGGAAUUGGCUUUAAAUCGGCUGUGCUUAUUGAGGCAGUACCGAUUCAGGCAAUUUUUAUUUUUCAAUCUUUUUACGAGCCUCACCUUAUCAAAUGCCGGGUAUGCAGCAAGGCAAACCGACCAUACCCUGUGGAGCCUCAUUCACUUGUUUGAGGAGCUGGGAGUACCCCUCAAAGCACCUGUGCCAACAGCUGAUCUUGCAGCCUUCUGUCCUGCACGGUAAGCACGUGAGCUGGACAGAAGUCUGUCUUAUAUGUGGGUGCCAUCCUCUGCAGUGGGUCUGUAGUAGGUGCCAAGUUCUCGAGGGACAGAGCACGCGGAAAGAAAAACACAAUGGGAACGCGGUAGUACAGCAGUGCGCCUAGGUUGCAGAGUGCUUUUAAUGGACAAUGCAAAACCGAGGCACCCCUAGCGUGUCGGGUGUGUUCUGGAAAACAUUUGUCAACAAAGGCUUCACUUUCAGUUCCCUCCAUCAGACGGUAGCCAGCUGCGAGCGGGCACUGCGGACCUGCACCAUGCCCCUUCGUAGGUCGACCUGCGGAGGUUGAUCCGAGCCUUCGUAAGUUGACCUGCGUGUGCAUGUUAUGCAGUAUGUAAGCAUGCUUUUCGUGACUUCAUCAGACGGCGACUGAUGCAAGGCGAAGGCAAGCCACAUCGCUUCAGCGAAACUAAACCUAAUCUUAAUAUACGUACACUCCUCUACACGCCAACUCCUUGGGGGCUUUCGACUUCAACAGACUUCCAGGACCAGCACCAACAUUAGUGUCGGGCUUUCACACUGUCUUUACAUCGUGUUUUGUCCAUCAUUCUUAAAGGAACACUAACCCCGCCCCCCAAAUUUUUCUUUUCUUGUUUGCCAGGCAAUUUAUUAUGGCGUCAGGAGACUACCCAAUCAAUAUUUUGCUACUAAGUCGUGUAUAUUUUCAGUAAAGCAAAAAAAA
rnacentral:misc_RNA from 1 species